rnacentral:rRNA from 1 species
ACCAGCACCUCAAGUGGUCAGGAUGAUUAUUGGGCCUAAAGCAUCCGUAGCCGGCUCUGUAAGUUUUCGGUUAAAUCUGUACGCUCAACGUACAGGCUGCCGGGAAUACUGCAGAGCUAGGGAGUGGGAGAGGUAGACGGUACUCGGUAGGAAGGGGUAAAAUCCUUUGAUCUAUUGAUGACCACCUGUGGCGAAGGCGGUCUACCAGAACACGUCCGACGGUGAGGGAUGAAAGCUGGGGGAGCAAACCGG